rnacentral:rRNA from 1 species
GAUGAACGCUGGCGGCGUGCCUAAUACAUGCAAGUCGAGCGAACAGAUAAGGAGCUUGCUCCUUUGACGUUAGCGGCGGACGGGUGAGUAACACGUGGGUAACCUACCUAUAAGACUGGGAUAACUUCGGGAAACCGGAGCUAAUACCGGAUAAUAUUUCGAACCGCAUGGUUCGAUAGUGAAAGAUGGUUUUGCUAUCACUUAUAGAUGGACCCGCGCCGUAUUAGCUAGUUGGUAAGGUAACGGCUUACCAAGGCGACGAUACGUAGCCGACCUGAGAGGGUGAUCGGCCACACUGGAACUGAGACACGGUCCAGACUCCUACGGGAGGCAGCAGUAGGGAAUCUUCCGCAAUGGGCGAAAGCCUGACGGAGCAACGCCGCGUGAGUGAUGAAGGUCUUCGGAUCGUAAAACUCUGUUAUUAGGGAAGAACAUACGUGUAAGUAACUGUGCACGUCUUGACGGUACCUAAUCAGAAAGCCACGGCUAACUACGUGCCAGCAGCCGCUGUAA